CUACGGGCGGCUCCAGUGGGGAAUAUUGCACAAUGGGCGCAAGCCUGAUGCAGCCAUGCCGCGUGUAUGAAGAAGGCCUUCGGGUUGUAAAGUACUUUCAGCGGGGAGGAAGGGAGUAAAGUUAAUACCUUUGCUCAUUGACGUUACCCGCAGAAGAAGCACCGGCUAACUCCGUGCCAGCAGCCGCGGUAAUACGGGAGGGUGCAAGCGUUAAUCGGAAUUACUGGGCGUAAAGCGCACGCAGGCGGUUUGUUAAGUCAGAUGUGAAAUCCCCGGGCUCAACCUGGGAACUGCAUCUGAUACUGGCAAGCUUGAGUCUCGUAGAGGGGGGUAGAAUUCCGGGUGUAGCGGUGAAAGGCGUAGAGAUCUGGAGGAAUACCGGUGGCGAAGGCGGCCCCCUGGACGAAGACUGACGCUCAGGUGCGAAAGCGUGGGGAGCAAACAGGAUUAGAUACCCAGUAGUC
rnacentral:rRNA from 1 species